UACGUAGGGUGCGAGCGUUAAUCGGAAUUACUGGGCGUAAAGCGUGCGCAGGCGGUUUUGUAAGACAGGCGUGAAAUCCCCGGGCUCAACCUGGGAAUUGCGCUUGUGACUGCAAAGCUGGAGUGCGGCAGAGGGGGAUGGAAUUCCGCGUGUAGCAGUGAAAUGCGUAGAUAUGCGGAGGAACAUCGAUGGCGAAGGCAAUCCCCUGGGCCUGCACUGACGCUCAUGCACGAAAGCGUGGGGAGCAAACAGG
rnacentral:rRNA from 1 species